rnacentral:lncRNA from 1 species
AACACAGACAUAUAAUAAUAUUCACAGGGUAACAUAUACAACAACUAAACAUUUGCAAUAUAUCUUAAUUUCCAAAACCCAAAUUACAAAGGUUUAGAGAUAUAUGUAUAAUUAUACAUAUUUCAAUACAAUUGCAUAAAUGAAUAAUGGAAGUAGAUAUAGAGGCAUUCACAAUUGUUCAACCAGAAAAGUUCAAUUUGUUAUUGAUCUCCUUAAUAAGUUUACAUAGUUCAUUCAAUUCUGUUCAUUUGUUUUGGAAUUCAUUAAGUCAUAAAACUUCCACGUGUUGGGUCUAUUUCUAUAAUGAAAUGCAAUACAUUGUUUUCUACAGUUAUCAAAAGCUGAACAAUUAAAAACGUAAUGGUAUUCAUCACCAAUGGCAUCUGCAUUACACAAUACACACGUUCUGUUUUCUCUUUCUAUUUUUUGCCAUCUUCCAGUUUCUAUUGGAAAUUAUUUUAUUUCAUGUUCAGAGUUUCAGAAAUUUCGUAAAGAUAUCUGCCUGUCAUCUCGAAAGUAUUUAAAUAUUAUUUUCUCAAACUCCAAAAUAUCUUUAAGUAAACGGUAAUUUAAUGUUUUGGUGAUUUUUGUAGGCUUGCUAGCCAAUUUUGUUUGAAUUGAUCUAUUAAGUUCUGUUUGAUGGAUACAUGUAGCCAUGUCUUAUUUACAAAAAAAGAUAGAAUGAAAUUCAAAACAGUGUGGCUGUGACCAUUGAUUGACACAUUAAAUUCAUCCCAUUGACUGGACAAUUUAGGUGAACG